CAUUUACGUUAACGCCUCCAGCGACGAUGACGAUAACGUAGAUGAUGACGGAAGUGAUGAUGACUUGUGGUUUGAAGGCGAAGAUAGCGACGAUGAGACCAAUGAUGUGGAUGUAGCCCCCGUCAUUAACGAAUGCUCCCCGCAAUCUAUGUCGGACUUAAAUGGGACUUACAUCUGGAAAUAUCCUAAACAGUUUAGUCAGGGCAGCAUCGACGGAUGAAAUGGUAGUAACGCGUGCACCGUGAUAGCUCUUGUGAUAGGAUAUAAUUUGAUAAGAGAAGACCUGUCCUUUCCGGCCAACGACAGUUCUAUUUCUCCACUAUGGAUAACGUUAUUGCAUCAGUCCAUGGUGUAGGGGAAUAACGUGUAUGAUAGGUUCGAAGAUUCUCUAAAGUCGAGUUAUCUAUCUGUGGAGGAAGCUUGCGAUAUCUUUUCUCGGUGUUAUACUAUUAAAUCAGAGAGGCCAUUGCCUGUUCGACUCCAAGACUCACAUCGGCCCUCGACCAUAGCAUGGCAGAUUGAACAACUCGUUACGCCCGGCGUGACAAAGUUAGCAGCCCUAAUCAUAAAUGGGAAUACGUCUCUCUUCGUUGUCCGCCAUCAUGACAUUAUGUUUAUUGACACUCAUGCUCAUGGAACUGAUCAUGGCGUUAUUGUCCUCAAAGGUCACCGCGAUAGUUUGGAAAACUUUUGUCGUUCAGUAUGGGAAACUCAGAAUUUUCAUAACCAAAAUUAUGGUAAUUUCGUUCCCAUCCAUACCCCUGCGAUACUAUCGUAGCUCGAAGUUAGUAAAGUGAAACGGUGACAGGUUGAAAUAGUUGUGCAAGUGUUCUGCUUUGACGAUAUCAGCUAUAUAACGGCAAGCUAAAAGGGGAAUUCUAACACUUGUCAUUACAUGUUCAGGUGGUGGCUUCGAUAACGAAGAAAAAUCAUGAGUACAUGUGGAAUGAGCACCUCGGUUACAUCCUCACGUGUCCUAGCAACCUGGGCACUGGCCUACGCGCAGGCGUACACGUCAAACUACCGCUGCUCGGAAAGCCCACCCCGCUCACUUGGUCCAAAAUAUGGUCCAUCCUUCACAGCAAGGACACAAUAUUUUUAAACCUCAGUACCGAGAAUGGCACUCCUAGUUGUGAACUUCUGACAUUUUAUCGGUAGAAAAAUAUAGCUGUCCUCGCAUGAAAGGCGGCUUUAGUUUUUACGAUGGAAGUUUGGCGUGACCAAAGGUAUCGCUAGUCAUAUAUUGAGAAUUCCUCUAGAGAACACUGUUCUGCGCACAACAAAAUAUUGUCGGUUGUUUUCCCUUUUUGAUAAAAGCCUUUUGAAUUAAAUUUAAAUUCUCUCAUA